rnacentral:rRNA from 1 species
UACAGAGGUCCCAAGCGUUGUUCGGAUUCAUUGGGCGUAAAGGGUGUGUAGGCGGCGCCGUAAGUCAGGUGUGAAAUCUCGGGGCUUAACUCCGAAACUGCAUUUGAUACUGCGGUGCUUGAGGACUGGAGAGGAGACUGGAAUUUACGGUGUAGCGGUGAAAUGCGUAGAUAUCGUAAGGAAGACCAGUGGCGAAGGCGGGUCUCUGGGCCGAUACUGACGCUGAGGAGCGAAAGCGUGGGGAGCAAACAGG